rnacentral:rRNA from 1 species
CGGCAGGCCUUAUACUGCAAGUCGAGGGGCAGCAUUUACUUCGGUAAAUGGCGACCGGCGCACGGGUGAGUAACGCGUAUGCAACCUACCUUUAACUGGGGCAUAGCUCGAGGAAACUCGAAUUAAUUCCCCAUAGUACAUUAUAAUAUCUCAUGAUAUAAAUGUUAAAGAUUUAUCGGUUAAAGAUGGGCAUGCGUCUGAUUAGUUUGUUGGUAAGGUAACGGCUUACCAAGACUACGAUCAGUAGGGGGUCUGAGAGGAUGAUCCCCCACACUGGUACUGAGACACGGACCAGACAUCUACGGAUGGCAGCAGUAAGGAAUAUUGGGCAAUGGGCGCAAGCCUGACCCAGCCAUGCCGCGUGCAGGAUGACGACCCUAUGGGUUGUAAACUGCUUUUAUAUAGGAAGAAAAUACUCUUGCGAGAGGAUCUGACGGUACUAUAUGAAUA